CUGGCCUGACAACAUCCUGGUGUUCAAGUUCAUCGUGAGCAGCCAUCCAGUCCUAUUCAGCAUUUCUGCAGCCAGCAUUUACAACGUUGGCCUGACAACAUCCUGCUGUUCAGGUUCAUCGUGAGCAGUCAGCUUAUUCAGCCAUCAUAAUCAUUGUUGGCCCGCCAGCAAUCGUGCUGUUCAAGUUUAUCGUUGGCAGCUCUCCUACACAGUUCACCAAUAUUGAACCACAUGUUUUGACUCGUCUACCUUUCCAGUCAAGGCAUUCAGCUCGCUAAUAUUGAACCACAUGUUUUGACUCGUCUACCUUUCCAGUCAAGGCAUUCAGCUCGCCGAUAUUGAAACAUUUGCUUUCGGCUCGUCUACUCUCCUAGUCGAAGCAUUUUAUUCAGCAUGACACCAGUAUUAUAAAAUUACAGUUGACUCAUCCAGCCGUCUACGCCUCUAGUCAUCUGCAGUUCAUCUCUAUUCGACUCAUCAAUAUUGAACCACUUGCUUUUCGACUCGUCUACCCUCUUACUCUUCCAGUCAAAGGCAUUCAGUCCAUCACCUGCUUGACUAGUCUACACAUCUGGUCAUCCACAGUCCAGUUCUUCAUUUUUCAGCCUCCUGGUUCAUCAGUAAACCACUUGCCUUUCGACUCGUCUACUCUUCUAGUCAAGGCAUUCAGCUCGUCAAUAUUGAACCAAUGCAGCUGACUCAUCCGGUCGUCUACCCUUCUAGUCAUCUGCAGUGAAGCUCUUUCAAGUUUCGUCUCGCUUCGUCAGCUCUACUACUUUUACUUCCAUCAACGCAGCUCGAGCUUCAUUUUAGCCGUUCCAUUCCUCUAGUCAAUCGCAGUCUGACUCGUCCUCUCGCCUACUCUACUGCAUCUUGACUCGCGAACAAUUUCACUAGAUUAUCAGUCUAUUAUUAUUCUUCUGUCAAUAUCACCAGUCUAUUAUCCCAUUCUUCCGUCAGCGUGAUUUGUGUUUUGAUUUCAGUCACAUGCCUUAUUCGUUUCAGCCAAUUCAAUCACUCUAAGCCCAAUCAGCCAUGCCUAGUCCUAGUUUUAGAUCCAGCCAAGAAGAAGAAGAAGGCCGAAAGGUUAAUCAAUCUGCUGGAGAUGUCGAGCUCACGAAGAGAAGGAGGAUAAGCGUUCGCAGUCAGAUCACCUCAACGAUUCGUCAGAUCCGAGUCAACAUCGAUCAGUGCGGAUCACGGGGAGGUAUAACCGGCCUAGUCAAACACCUCCAGUAUUUAGCAACGACAUCUACACUCUUGCAUACCCUCUUGCUAACAGUAGAAGAUGCAAGUGAGAAAGACAGGCAAGAGGAGAGGCAUCGGUCGUAUGUUCAACAGAUUGGUGAAGCGGUUGCCGAAGCCGAAGAACACCUGAAGUCCAGAGCUGGGGAAGCCCCUUCUGGAGUCAAUGAAAGUAUCAAGCAAGAUUCUAAACGUGCAGUAAGAGCAUCGGAAGAAGAAAUCCGUGGGGCACAACAAACCCGCACACAAGCAGAGCAGUCCAGAAGAAAAGCAGAAGAUGCUUUACAGAAAUUGCAGCCAGUCGAUUCCGAUCUCGACAAACUCUCUUCAGUCAGCAACGGAGGUCAAUUUCAUCCAUUUUCAAGAUUAGCGGCUGAACCGACACCACCAAUUCAGAAAGCCAGCGUAUGUUUUGCUGCUCGUGUCAAUCAAGUCUCUUCCAAACACUCGUCAAUGUCACACAUUUCAUCGAAAUCCGCUUCACACCCGUUCUGUUUCAAGUGUGAAGGGGAGCAAAGCCUGGAGAGCCAUGGAGCUUUCAAAUUAUCUUCUGCAGGAGAACGUGUCAGCUUUUGUGUAAAGUAUCGGCUGUGUUUCGGUAAUCUGAAACCAAGUCAGUCGAUUCGUGUCUGUCAUCUACGGAAGCCCUAAAGUCAAUCCGGCCGCGCCUUAUUCUGCCACGCGCUACUACCUGACGUCAAGCGAGUCAAUUUCCACGCCUCCAUCGUGGUAUAUCCAGCUACUCUACUCAUCGACAACAAAGGUCAUCAACGAGUGGAGAUGGGAAGCAACUCUACUUUAAUGCAGCAAGGAUUUCCCAGCCUCUUAAAACUUUGUGAUGAUCAUCUUAUUCUUUCCAGUUCGUCUCCCAUCCUUAAUAUCAUCAGAGUUAGAAACGUCAUAGACUACCCCUUGCAGCGAAGCAGUUUCAGUAUGGGAGGCUCAGUUCAUCCUACCACAUCCAUUGUCUGCUCAACUCUGCCAACGGUGGCCACCGAUACAUCCAUCACCGAUUGGCCAGUUCCGAAGGAACGUUGGAAGGAUCAUCCCAAUCUAUCAGUAUCAACGACCUGUGGUAUGGUAGACAUUUUGAUCUGUGAUGGUCUUCUUCCCCUAGUCAAAGCUGUCAGAGCCAAUACAAUCAUCAGAUCAACCCAAUUGGUCCAGCCUGCCAACGCGAUGAAUCAGUCCCGAGAAACAGAUAAUUUUGACACCGAAUAACGAGUCACGGGAAUGUCCGAAGAUCAUCAAAGGGCCGUCUCGAUUUUAGAUGGUGGAACCCGGAAGUUCAGUGCCGAGGAUUGCGUCAAGAGAAUGCUGUCCGAUGUCAACCUGCACCUCCAAGACUGGAUUCCAAAUUCAUCCGAGUUCAUCCAGUCAGUCGUAAGAGAGCCACACAUCACCUGGAUCUUCUAGAAUAUGCGCUGAAGAAUUCCUCUGCAGUUGAAGAUUGUCAUUUACAUCAAGUCUACAUCAAGUCAUUAAAAUCCCAGUUACCCAUUGUAAUCAUCUAAGACGUUAUUUUUCUAUUUCGCCUUGAUUUGCUCAUCGAUGUUACACUACACCUCGAUUCGGGGGAGUAUGUUCCGGCGAAAUUCCGUCUUUGAGCCGAUUUAUUGCAAUCUGGCAACGUCCUCGCCUUUAUUUCUCGCUGUCACUAUAUUUUCCUAUUAGUCGUUUGCUUCUUGCACGUUUUGAAGUCGAGUGUGACAUUCUGUUCUCGAAGAUCACCGUUACUUGUCUUUCUUUCUGUGAUUUCUGUUCGGUCUUUGUCUCACAAGUUCACCCUGGAACUAUUCUGCCUUGCCUUAUUUCUGUGGUCAAUAGCCUGUGAGCCAUUUUGUUCUAUUUCUGCUUCGCAGGCACCAUCGCUUAUACCAUUGCUACGUCAACAUCGUUAACUCUCAUAGUCAUACUGCCAUUCUGGCAGACAAAUCUUUACUCGCAAUACAUUGAAGAGAAAACCCACUGCGGCCUAUGCUCUAAUUUAGCUUCUGAACAGGACCUGUAAGAAAUGUCAUCAUAAUCAUCC